GACGAACGCUGGCGGCAUGCCUAACACAUGCAAGUCGAGCGAGUUGAUCCCUUCGGGGUGAAGCUAGCGGCGGACGGGUGAGUAACACGUGGGCAACCUGCCUCAUAGAGGGGAAUAGCCUACCGAAAGGAAGAUUAAUACCGCAUAAGAUUGUAGCUUCGCAUGAAGCAGCAAUUAAAGGAGCAAUCCGCUAUGAGAUGGGCCCGCGGCGCAUUAGGUAGUUGGUGAGGUAACGGCUCACCAAGGCGACGAUGCGUAGCCGACCUGAGGGGGGGAUCGGCCACAUUGGGACUGAGACACGGCCCAGACUCCGUCGGGAGGCAGCAGUGGGGAAUAUUGCACAAUGGGGGAAACCCUGAUGCAGCAAUGCCGCGUGAGUGGUGACGGCCUUCGGGUUGUAAGCUCUGUCUUCGGGGACGAUAAUGACGGUACCCGAGGAGGAAGCCACGGCUAACUACGUGCCAGCAGCCGCGGUAA
rnacentral:rRNA from 1 species